rnacentral:rRNA from 1 species
AAGACGAUCAGAUACCGUCGUAGUCCUAACCAUAAACGAUGCCGACUAGAGAUUGGAGGUCGUCAGUUUGAACGACUCCUUCAGCCUAACCAUAAACGAUGCCGACUCUUUGGGUUCUGGGGGGAGUAUGGUCGCAAGGCUGAAACUUAAAGGAAUUGACGGAAGGGCACCACCAGGCGUGGAGCCUGCGGCUUAAUUUGACUCAACACGGGGAAACUCACCAGGUCCAGACAGAGGAAGGAUUGACAGAUUGAUGGCUCUUUCUUGAUUCUUKGGGUGGUGGUGCAUGGCCGUUCUUAGUUGGUKGAGUGAUUUGUCUGGUUAAUUYCGUUAAGAAGGAUUGACAGAUUGA